rnacentral:rRNA from 1 species
UACGUAGGUGGCGAGCGUUGUCCGGAAUUACUGGGUGUAAAGGGUGCGUAGGCGGGCAGGCAAGUUGGAUGUGAAAUACCGGGGCUUAACUCCGGGGCUGCAUCCAAAACUGCAGGUCUUGAGUGAAGUAGAGGCAAGCGGAAUUCCCAGUGUAGCGGUGAAAUGCGUAGAGAUUGGGAGGAACACCAGUGGCGAAGGCGGCUUGCUGGGCUUUAACUGACGCUGAGGCACGAAAGCAUGGGGAGCGAACAGGAUUAGAUACC